rnacentral:tRNA from 1 species
GCCAGGAUAGCUCAGGUGGUUAGAGCGCGUCAUUGGUAAUGACGAGGUGGUGGGUUCAACUCCCGCUCCUGGCUC